rnacentral:rRNA from 1 species
UACGUAGGGUCCGAGCGUUGUCCGGAAUUACUGGGCGUAAAGAGCUCGUAGGUGGUUUGUCGCGUUGUUCGUGAAAACUCACAGCUCAACUGUGGGCGUGCGGGCGAUACGUGCAGACUGGAGUACUGCAGGGGAGACUGGAAUUCCUGGUGUAGCGGUGGAAUGCGCAGAUAUCAGGAGGAACACCGGUGGCGAAGGCGGGUCUCUGGGCAGUAACUGACGCUGAGGAGCGAAAGCGUGGGGAGCGAACAGG